CACGGCGGCGGAGUGGAGAGGAGGAAAAAAAAAGAAUAAUAACAAAUGAAAAAAGAAUGCAGUCGAUGGCGAGAGCGAAAAGAAGUCAAGAUGGCGGUGGAUGGCCUCCCCUCUCCCUAGUCUCUCCCCCUCCGGCGUCCGCCCCAGGAAUGAGGUAACCUAGAUCGGCGGGUCUGUUUUGAUGCGGGCUGUGCGCUCGGGGAGGCAGGCGGCCGUACGCGCUCUACGACGUGCAGCGUCUGGGAAUGGCAUUGAGUUUCUCGCCGACUUGUUUUGACGCGUCGGAGUCGCCGCGCUAAAUUCGCUCUUCCGCACUGCAUGCGACUCGCACGUACCGCACGACCUCGUCUGUCCUGUGCGCCAGUGGCGUUGUUCUCUAAGCAGCUCUUUUACACAAGGCCGUGGCUAAUUUUAGCCGUUUCACGCACGACAUAGAGAGCUCACUUGGGUUGAACAGCUCUGCUAUGAUGCAAGAAGUGUAUUUAACGUCCUCACUUACACCCUGUGUGAAAGUUCGUGAGACCUGCGCACAGAAGAGGCGGCGAUGCGUGUCUGUCCUGGAAACGUCUCUUGUGCGAUCGAGGACUUGAACGUGGUUCAGAAAAGACGGAAUAAGAACGUUAUCGCUUUCAAGAACUGCAUUACUGAAGCCUUCUCUAAUAUGUCGUCGAAUAUCCUGGGCCGCCUGGCCACUCCUGGUGCGAAGCAAAGAGUUGCCGGAAAGGAGGACUGCAGACGUGGAAUCAGAUAUGCGAGCGACCCGCCACUCUCUUGCAUUCUUCUUUGGCCCAGCCACUCGCCGCUCCCUCCCGCGCCCUCUCUCCGUCUCGUCUAGCCCUUUCUUCUCCCGCCGCCGCGGACCGCAAGAGAAGCACCGCAAACUCGCGCGGUUCGCGCAGGUCUGCUACACAUUCCCUUUAUACCUGCUGCUUCUCUCCGUAAUUGUGUGCAGCGCCGAAACACGUGGACACGUGUGGUUCUAUACUUGCUUUGCUGUGCGUUCUUCUGCCUGCGUGUUGUUUUGUUUCGAAAGAUAAAGGAAUUCCCACGCACCUGUC